rnacentral:lncRNA from 1 species
AUUCUGUUUUUCUACUACUGCUUUCGUGACAUAAUUAGAUUAUCAUUAUUAGUGUGUUGUAUAAUUAACUUAUCAUAAUUAGCUGUCUUUCCAGACACACUGUGAGUGCCUCAGCUCACCACCCAGCCAGUAGCUGGCAUGGGAUGGUUGCAAACCUUUAUAGAAUGGUUCGAAUGGGAUCAUGGCUACCUCUUUGGGUGACCCCCAUCCUCUCUGCUAGACUCCUGGGGGCAGAGCAGGGUGGGAAAGACAGGAGGAAGCAGGGCAGCUGAAAGCCACAGAGGGAAGGGAGGUGGGAUGACUGUCCUUGAGGGCCAUGAAAAGGAAGAGGCAGAGAAGGUACAGAUAGUUACUCAUAAACACACCAGAUGAAACAGGUGUAUUCACAGUCAGCAGCAGCUAUGCAGGGCAGAGGGAGGAGACAGGAGGAUGGUGACUGUGGGGACCAGGGGUGACUUUGGAACACACAGCCCAGUGGAAAAUGGCCUUUCCUUCAACCUGAGAGCCCCGUGGUGGGUGGGAGGGAGGCACAGCCUCUGUCCCUCUGCCUGCUGCACUCAUCCCUCAUCUGUGCAUGGCUGGCCCCUCUUCUUCCUUCAGGCCUCACCUCUCUGAUCACCCAGAGGAUCUCAGAGCCUCUCUAUCAGUCACUUCUGGAUGACAAACUGAUUGGGUGACCAAGGCAGGUGGCUCCUGCUCCAUCAUAGCCAACGGAAUCUCAAGCAUGUCUGGCACAGACUGGGUGCCUCAUUAGUGUUUGCUAAAGGAAGCUCGUCACUUGCCCUCCUCCCUGCACCCCAGCAACCUGCUUGUGGUCCCAAAGGUGCCGUGAGAGCCCCUUCCUCCUGCCUUGCCCCUGCCCUUUCCACUGCCCAGGACUUCUCCCUCCCUAUCCUUCCAGAUGAACUUAUGUGGUGCCCUCCACCCUUGAAGCCCUCCUGGCUACCCCUGGCCUGAAGCGGGCUCUCCUCCCUUGGCACAUUCAGGCCACUGGCACCGCCAUCCUUAAAGUCUGCCCAGCUCCCACUGCCCGGCUUCCUCAGGCCUGUCUCCAGAGCGCCCGGAGGGCAAGGACUGUGUGCCGUCGUUGGCUUAUAUUGCCUGGCACACACUGGCAUUCACUGGGGAAGGGUUUGAGUUAAACCUGAAUUCACCUCACCAGGCGAUUGGAGCAUUGGUGAGACUGGGUCUGCAGAGCAGCUGGUGCUCUUAAAACACGGCCAUUCCAAGCCUUGCCAUGGUCCUGGUCCUUGUUUUAGAGCAGAGCCUUCUGGAUGGGCCCUUUGGGUCACAUACAGGCCUUUAUAUCUGGUGGGGCCAGCCCAGGAGGGCUUAGGUGGACACCCCAAUCCCCGGGGACCGACCUCAAGGUCUCUGCUGCCUGAGCCCUUGUAUUUACAAGGAAGACCAGGAGGAGCCCCGGGUGCUGGUCUGUGCCGCCUUCCCUCAGACCCUUCCCCUCUGUGGGGACCCAUGGUGGCUUAUCUUACAGUGUGACAUGUUGGUGACAACCAGCCAGGCUUUUCCCCAGGGCCUGCGAGUCACUUGGGGUGUGUGUGCUGGGACACUGAGGCCCCCAAGCAGGUGACUAUAUUGGCCACUUAUGUUCAUUUUUGACCUACUGUGUGUGUCGGCUGCUGUUCUUGGAAUUUCCUGUAUGCUAACUAUGAAUUCUUACAAGACUUGAGAAGACUGAGGCAGAGAGUGAGAGAGUAAUGUAGUUGCCCAAGGUCGCAUGGUGUAAGUAGCAGAGGCAAGAUUCGAACUAGGCUGUCUGGCCCCAGAGCCCGCCUUCAAACACCACUCCAUGCUGCGUGUACUAAGCAUCUG